rnacentral:misc_RNA from 1 species
GAUGAAGAACGCAGCGAACUGCGAUAAGUAGUGUGAAUUGCAGAAUUCAGUGAAUCAUCGAAUCUUUGAACGCACAUUGCGCCCUUUGGUAUUCCUUAGGGCAUGCCUGUUCGAGCGUCAUUUAAACCUUCAAGCUAAGCUUGGUGUUGGGUGACUGUCCGCCUCACGGCGGACUCGCCUCAAAAUUAUUGGCGGCCGGUACAUUGGCUUCGAGCGCAGCAGAAACGCGAACUCGGGCCCGUCGUAUUGGCUCCCAGAAGCUAUCUUCACAAUUUUGACCUCGGAUCAGGUAGGGAUACCCGCUGAACUUAAGCAUAUCAAUAAGCGGAGGA